rnacentral:tRNA from 1 species
GUUGGCAUAGUUAAAUAUAACAUUAGAUUGUGAUUCUAAAGAUAGAAGUUAAACCCUUCUUACCGACC